UACGUAGGGUGCAAGCGUUGUCCGGAAUUAUUGGGCGUAAAGGGCUCGUAGGCGGUCCAUCGCGUCGGGAGUGAAAAGCUGGGGCUUAACCCCAGUCCUGCUUCCGAUACGGGUGGACUAGAGGUAGGUAGGGGAGAACGGAAUUCCUGGUGUAGCGGUGAAAUGCGCAGAUAUCAGGAGGAACACCGGUGGCGAAGGCGGUUCUCUGGGCCGAUACUGACGCUGAGGAGCGAAAGCGUGGGGAGCGAACAGG
rnacentral:rRNA from 1 species